GCGGGUGUAGUUCAGCGGUAGAACGUCUCCUUGCCAAGGAGAAGGUCACGAGUUCGAAUCUCGUCACCCGCU
rnacentral:tRNA from 1 species